rnacentral:rRNA from 1 species
CCUACGGGAGGCAGCAGUAGGGAAUAUUGCUCAAUGGGGGCGACCCUGAAGCAGCAACGCAGCGUGGAGGAUGAAUGUUUUCGGAUUGUAAACUCCUUUUGUUAGAGAAGAUAAUGACGGUAUCUAACGAAUAAGCACCGGCUAACUCCGUGCCAGCAGCCGCGGUAAUACGGAGGGUGCAAGCGUUACUCGGAGUCACUGGGCGUAAAGGGCGCGUAGGGGGGAUAGCAAGUCAGAUGUGAAAUCUUAUGGCUUAACCAUAGAACUGCAUUUGAAACUGUUAUUCUAGAGUAUGGUAGAGGUAGGUGGAAUUCGUGGUGGAGGGGUGAAAUCCGUAGAGAUCAAGAGGAAUACUCAUUGCGAAGGCGACCUGCUAGAACAUCACUGACGCUGAUGCGCGAAAGCGUGGGGAUCAAACAGGAUUAGAUACCCCAGUAGUC